rnacentral:rRNA from 1 species
AGAGAUGUGUGAUGACGCAUAUCAAUAAGCGGAGGAAAAGAAACUAACAAGGAUUCCCUUAGUAACGGCGAGUGAAGCGGGAAGAGCUCAAAUUUGAAAUCUUCAGGGUUCUACCUUGACGAAUUGUAGUUUAAAGAAGUGUUUUCUGUUAGUGGAGUGGCAAAAGUUCUUUGGAAUAGGACAUCAUAGAGGGUGAGAAUCCCGUAUUUGGUCAUUCCUUCUAGCUUUGUGAUACACUUUCAAAGAGUCGGAUUGUUUGGGAAUGCAGUCCAAAAUGGGUGGUAAAUUUCAUCUAAAGCUAAAUAUUGGCGAGAGACCGAUAGCGAACAAGUACCGUGAGGGAAAGAUGAAAAGAACUUUGAAAAGAGAGUUAAACAGUACGUGAAAUUGUCAAAAGGGAAGCGUUUGACACCAGUGUUGUUUUUCCGAAAAUCAAUUACGAAUGUUUUGUUUUUGAGGAGUUAUGACUUCAUCGGCUUGCUCCUUUCUUUAUGAAACUUUCUUAAUGCACUUUUCGGUUAACAAGUCAACAUCAAUUUCUUUUGUUGUAAAAGGGUACGAGGAAGGUGGCUUUCUUUUCGGAGAAAGUGUUUAUAGCCUUGUACCUCUGCAAUCGGAGAGAUUGAGGUCUGCAGCGUAGAUCCUUCGGGGUUAGAUACAUUUGUGCUAAGUUAUAGCCUUUUCAUAGACAACUUGUUGACUAUGUUAAGUCUUGUAGCUUACUCGCUUAUGCUAUUUUACCUACGCUUAGGAUGUUGAAGAUGUAGCACAUCAU